rnacentral:misc_RNA from 1 species
GUUGUAGGAAGUACAGAGAACGACGCUCCAUUUCGGGCUCGGCGGUUUGAGAGGUUGUUGUCCAAUCUUAACCUUCAAGUUCUUGAAAUCCAUGGAUAUGGAAAUCGAUGCUUCCAAAGAUGUUCCUCUAAUCAAAGAUGAACAUCUUUUCAAAGCCGCAGAGACCGGCGAUUCUUCCGCUUUCACUGCCCUCUCAUCACAACAGCUUUCUCAAUCUCUCUCCCUAAGAAAUGAGGAUGACCGCUCUCUUCUCCAUGUUGCCGUCUCUUCAGGCCACGCCGAUGUGGUAAAGAUACUGGCUACUGCUGAUCAGUCUGCUAAAUUAAUUAACUGCGUUGAUGAGGAAGGUUGGGCACCGAUUCAUUCUG